rnacentral:lncRNA from 1 species
AUGUUUAUCGGUUGUCAAUUAGUUUUGUUAAACACAGGAUGAAUUGCCAAAUUCCCUUAAUUUUUUCUUCUUUUUUAUGUUUUGGAAGCUCAGUCUGCUUCAAUGUGUUUAGUAGUCUUGCUAUAUUUAUCUGUCAUCUACUUUUUAUUAAAGUUGGACUGGCUAUUGAAAAACAGGAUGUUUGAUGGUUUAGCAGAAAGUGCUAUCUUGUU